ensembl:lncRNA
CAAAAGCAAAGCUCAAAGAGCUCAAGCCUGAGCUUAAAUGGGCUCCUGGGCCACGGCUGGAGGAUGGUGGAGGCUCCAGGUGAACCUCGUCAAGCUAUUUCUGUGAAGUCCCAUACUCAAUUCACAGCUGGCAGGGAACAAAAACGUGUUGCUUUUAGGACCGUAAGUAUAGAGGCUAAGCCACUGGGGAGAAGAAAUAUGGUGCUUCAUCCUCCUGGCUCAAGUGCAGAACCUGAACAGGCUAGAGCACAAUCAGAGCACUCUGUCUCUGCACCAUUUGGGAUUCAGACUUCAGGGAAGGUAGAGGAAAGAGCACGCCAAAUGAAUCCAUGGACUCGGCUGAGCAUUUACAAAUCCAGAAGCAGAAGCAAGGCUUUUUCUCCCAGAUGGGUCAGCAGGAGGAGCUGCUGCUUCCCCGUGGUCUGAAACGCUUUAGGAAACUGGAGCUUUUGUGUCUUGGACCGUUUGCUUUCACACAGAUGAAGAAGUCAUGCAAAGGACACCUCAAGAUGGAACACCGUGAGCCUACAGGGCCUGAGAGCAGUGUUUUGAUCCACAGCUACAGCAGUGACUCCGAACCAUUUGGUCACAGGUCUGGAGGUGCUGGUGUAUCAGAAUGGACCCGAUCACAUACUGUGACUGAGAUGUCGGCGCUGAGCCGAUUUAAGCUUGUUUGAAGGAUGAAAGUCACCGCUGGCUGUGCUGGGGCUGAGAAAUUACACCUGGCGAUAAUAUUAUGAUCUUUUUUUUCUUCUUUAAGAGCUCUUUGCACUCUUCCUCCAUGCUGUGCUCACGUCAGGAGCAGGGAGGAGGCAACAGAGGAAUUGCUCUGGAGUGCUAUUUUAGCCCAUUCCCACUUGCUGUCUGUUCCUCAGCAAGCAGGGUGACAUUUUUCUCCUUAACGUGACAGCUCACAUUCAGAUCAUCCCAUUUUGGUGAUGCAUGUGCUCAGGAUCUGUUUAAUCAGGGAUUUAACAGGAGGGAGUAGGGGGAGGCAGAGCGUGGCUGCGCUGAGGGGCUGAGAAGCAUUGAAUGUGCUCACUCAGCCGCAGGGGCUGAGCACCACAGCCACUUUGCUCAGGAAAGCAAUAAGAAAAAGGAGAUGGGACACUGCCAUUUGGAACAGCCCUGAGACAGCGCCGGAGAGGAAUCCCCUCAUGGCGCUGAGUAGGUCUCCUAGUCAGAGCAGGGCUCGGUGGAGCUCUGAGGGCAGUACCAGGGCCGG